CGAAAGCCUGACGGAGCAAUACCGCGUGAGGGAGGAAGGCUCUUGGGUCGUAAACCUCAAAACUUAGGGAAGAAGAAAGUGACGGUACCUAAUAUAAGCAUCGGCUAACUCCGUGCCAGCAGCCGCGGUAAUACGGAGGAGGCAAGCGUUAUCCGGAAUGAUUGGGCGUAAAGCGUCCGCAGGUGGCGAUGCAAGUCUGCUGUCAAAACCCAGGGCUCAACUCUGGUCAGGCAGUGGAAACUACAAAGCUAGAGUCUGGUAGGGGCAAAGGGAAUUCCCGGUGUAGCGGUGAAAUGCGUAGAGAUCGGGAAGAACAUCGGUGGCGAAAGCGCUUUGCUAGACCAGAACUGACACUCAGGGACGAAAGCUAGGGGAGCG
rnacentral:rRNA from 1 species